rnacentral:rRNA from 1 species
GCCCUGCAUGUCUAGUAUAGCACUAUACACGCGAACUGCGCAUGGCUCAUUAUAUCCUUAUCGUUUAUUUGAUAGUACCUUACUACUUGGAUAACCGUGGUAAUUCUAGAGCUAAUACAUGCUAAAAAUCCCGACUUCGGAAGGGAUGUAUUUAUUAGAUAAAUAACCAAUGCCCUUCGGGCUCUCUUGGUGAUUCAUAAUAAUUCACCAAAUCGAAGGCCUUGGCGCGGGCAAGGGUUCAUUCAAUUUUCUCCCCUACCAAUUUUCAAUGUUAGGAUA